CAGAGGACCUUCUUGCUGUGAGGCGACAGUGCUACCCCCUGCACCACCAUGCUGCCCUGGUCUGAGAAAUUGAUGGGAUAAAUUUACCGACGCGCAGUCGACGUGACAGUUUGGAAACGCAGAACUUCGUUGUUCACAGGGAUGAGAAGGAUCGAGCUGGACCGAAGAGUGCAACCCCACACACCCGCAGAAGACAUCUGAUUGGACCAUUCCGCAAGCCUCAGCCCCACCUCUAUCCCUUCCACUAUUCUUUGGGGAUCGUGUGCAACUUGUGGAAAAAGAGCCUCCUUCUAUGAAUAAUGGAAAAAAAAUCAUAUAUGCUGUAUAUAUAAUCCCACACAAGUAUUUUAUUUUAGAAGUUCAGGUUUCAAAUGUACAGUGCUAUGCAACUACUCUUUAGGCAAAAAUAGCAGGAAAUAUAAUGGACAGAAAACUGAUUUUGACUCAAAAACACACAGAUGUGAGGAAUUUAGUGUCUGUGCUGGUUUCGCUGGAGUUUGUGGGGUUGGGAAAUAUCCAUGGCUUAUGGCUUAGCUGCUCCUCUGAUCUGGCUUUGCUGUUACUAAUGUGAAAACCUGCCUGCGAGGACUGAUGGUGUACUUUUUAAAAUUAAAAUAUUUUUUCCUGCAUUUGUGACACUAUUUGACAUUUUGCCAUGUAUUGAGGGACAGAAAGACAUCAUUUUCUAGUUUGCUUUUCACAGAGGUCAGAUGGAGAAACGUAUUAUGCCACUAAAUUGUCAGAAUGUCCCUGCAAAUCAAAUGUAAUGUCACAUAAGCUGACAUGUAAAUUGAAUGUCAUCUUGAACACGAUCACCGAAAGUGAAAAAAACAAGCAAUGCAAGCAACACCGCACUUAGAGUGAGUAAUUUCAACCAUGCUACAAAUGCAGCGUUAAAGUGAAUGAAGUACCUCCAUCUCUCUAAAAGUACGAUUUAAAGGACUGUUUUCAAUUCCAGACCAGAAGAGAGCCGCUCCUGCUUGACGGUUGGAAACUCCAUGUGCAGCCUUUCAGUUCAGGACUCAAAGUGAAAACCUUAACAACAGAAGCACGAUUUUAGCUGAGCAGGUUGAGAAUAAAAAAUGACUAAAUAUUUUCCAUGGCUUGCAUGAAUUGGAUUUCCAUGUAAUCCAACACUGUGAUGAAAUAACCCUUGUGUUGCCCA